rnacentral:rRNA from 1 species
CCUACGGGGGGCUGCAGUGAGGAAUAUUGGUCAAUGGACGAGAGUCUGAACCAGCCAAGUAGCGUGAAGGAUGACUGCCCUAUGGGUUGUAAACUUCUUUUAUAAAGGAAUAAAACGAGGCACGUGUGCCUUUUUGCGUGUACUUUAUGAAUAAGGAUCGGCUAACUCCGUGCCAGCAGCCGCGGUAAUACGGAGGAUGCGAGCGUUAUCCGGAUUUAUUGGGUUUAAAGGGAGCGUAGAUGGGUUGUUAAGUCAGUUGUGAAAGUUUGCGGCUCAACCGUAAAAUUGCAAUUGAUACUGGCAGUCUUGAGUACAGUUGAGGUAGGCGGAAUUCGGGGUGUAGCGGUGAAAUGCUUAGAUAUCACGAAGAACCCCGAUUGCGAAGGCAGCAUACUAAACUGUAACUGACGUUGAUGCUCGAAAGUGUGGGUAUCAAACAGGAUUAGAUACCCUUGUAGUC